GCAAGCGAGAGUGUGUGUGUGUGUGUUUGUGUGUGAGUGAGGGGAAACAAAGAGAAAACCACAACAAGAAUCCGUGGCCAUUCAUCAUUGCUGUAGUGGAGGGGAAUGGAUCUCAGCCUAAGUUUCCCUGCCUUCAGCCGUCGAGUAGCUAGCAGAUGCCUUCUGGAUGAAGUUCUUGACGUGACAAAAAGUCUAGUACAGAGUCCCUAGCUAGCUCCUGGACAGUCUGCAGUACGUUCAAAUUGUGCUUCCAGAGUCGUACCCAUCAGCAAGUUCCUGAUUAUCUUCAAGCUUCUCCUAAAGAACCACUUUGUUGGACUCGGUUGUGAAUUUCGUCAUGAUGAAGGCGGCACCGCCGCCAGAAGCCCACCUGCUGCCGCGUCAUUGGCUGCUGACUUCUGGAAGCGUGAAGGAGGCGGAGCCAAAGAAGAAGGAGGAGGAGGAGGAGGUGUGGAAUUAGGUGUGCGGAGGAGAAGCAGCAGGAGUCAGGAUGCAAAGGAAAGGCCAAGAGACAACCAAGCGCGCUGAUGAAGAGGAGGCAGAGAAAGAGGAGGAGGAGGAGGAGAAGGAGGAGGAGAAGGAGGUGCUGACUCCAGACAGAAUGCCAGCUGAGAAGUACACGAGGACGCACGCACGCACGCACGGGCGCGCUCGCGAGGCUAAGGAGUGCGCGUGGCGCACGCGCAUCGCGCGAACCUGUGAUCGAUAUGAUACACGCUGACGUAAAUACGCCCGCCCUUCCACACAACUAUCUGUCCGUCCGCGUGAAAACACGCUGCGCUCAAAGUGAAUUGCCUGACAAUUGUUUUGGCCACUUAGAAACAAUUUCCGUUGUUUUCUUCUUUAAAAAAAAAAUAUACAGUGCCUUGCGAAAGUAUUGGGCCCCCUUGAACCAUUCAACAUUCGCGACAUUU